UUACUCUGGCUUCUCUUCAUCGUAUGAUUCUUUCGCCUUUUACUAAAGAAUUCCCGUCUGGGAGGGGUAGCAUUUCAAUGAGUCUUAAGAUAUUUUUCUGCACCUGAGCGUUCGGUUAGGG
rnacentral:snRNA from 1 species